UAGGGAGAUAUAUUAAUCAUCUAAAGACUAAAAACAAUUGAUGUGAUAUGACUUAAUUAGAGGAAAAAAAGAGAAAGAUAAUUUGGACCAUAGAUUAAUCAUUUAAGCACUGACUAAGUGAGAAUGACCUAUAUACUUUAUAUCAUAAAACAUAAUAAAGAUAUACAUUGAAACAUUAUGUGAAUUAUGUUGGAUGAUAAUUUAACAUGUUUGUAUUUUAAAAGCUCUUAAAUUAUAAAAACUAUAAAUAUAUAGCAUGUUUGUAUGAUGUUUAAAUGUGAUGAGUGUUAGUGGAUGAUGAUGUGACAUCUUGUUAAUUAGUGGAUGAUGAUGUGACAUCUUGUUAGUGGAUGAUGAUGUGGCAUCUUUGCAUGUCAAGCUUAAGAAGUUAGUGGGAGAUAACUUUAUAGGAAGAUAGGAUUGGUGCAAUAAGAGAAGAGGACUUUUUUCGGUCUUCUCGUCUCUUUGCGUCUCUCAUUUCCUCUCUCUCCAGUGCUCUGCCGCCGCCGGCAUGCCGAGCGGCUACGAUGGGGCCGUAUAUGUCAUGGAUAUUACCUGAAAGAAGCAUCUCUGUGCUUGGCUGCUCGCCAACUCGCCGUAGCCGUCGCAUAUACAAAUUACAGGCUGAUGGAGCAGCAGCAUGCGCAAGAAGUAGAGACAUGGGUUAUGUUACCGGAAUAAGUUCACUCUGACUCCCUUAACUAUUGACCAAAUCUGUUUCGUAUCCCUAAACCACACUAUCGGAUAACUCGACCCCUUAACUAUUAAAAUCAGUGCAAUUUGACUCUUUCGAUGGUUUCGCUGACA